AUUGAACGCUGGCGGCAUGCUUUACACAUGCAAGUCGAACGGUAACAGGGUGCUUGCACCGCUGACGAGUGGCGAACGGGUGAGUAAUGCGUCGGAACGUGCCGAGUAGUGGGGGAUAACGCUGCGAAAGUUGUGCUAAUACCGCAUACGUACUGAGGUAGAAAGUGGGGGACCUUCGGGCCUCACGCUAUUCGAGCGGCCGACGUCUGAUUAGCUAGUAGGUGAGGUAAAGGCUCACCUAGGCGACGAUCAGUAGCGGGUCUGAGAGGAUGAUCCGCCAGACUGGGACUGAGACACGGCCCAGACUCCUACGGGAGGCAGCAGUGGGGAAUUUUGGACAAUGGGCGAAAGCCUGAUCCAGCCAUGCCGCGUGUCUGAAGAAGGCCUUCGGGUUGUAAAGGACUUUUGUCAGGGAGGAAAUCCCUAGUGCUAAUAACACUGGGGGAUGACAGUACCUGAAGAAUAAGCACCGGCUAACUACGUGCCAGCCGCCGCCGUAA
rnacentral:rRNA from 1 species